AACGAACGCUGGCGGCGUGCCUAACACAUGCAAGUCGAGCGCGAAAAGGGCAACCUGAGUAGAGCGGCGCACGGGUGCGUAACACGUGGGUAAUCUGCCUUGGAGUCGAGGAUAACUUUCCGAAAGGUUAGCUAAUACUCGGUAAGCUUACGGAGACUUCGGUCUUUGUGAGAAAAGUAGGCCUCUAUUUAUAAGCUUACGCUUCGAGAUGAGCCCGCGGCCCAUCAGCUAGUUGGCGGUGUAACGGACCACCAAGGCAACGACGGGUAGCUGGUCUGAGAGGACGAUCAGCCACACUGGAACUGAGACACGGUCCAGACUCCUACGGGAGGCAGCAGUGGGGAAUUUUCCACAAUGGGCGAAAGCCUGAUGGAGCAACGCCGCGUGUGUGAUGAAGGUUUUCGGAUCGUAAAGCACUUUCGACCGGGACGAAAAACCUCUGGCUAACAUCCAGGGGCCUGACGGUACCGGGAGAAGAAGCACCGGCUAACUCUGUG
rnacentral:rRNA from 1 species